rnacentral:rRNA from 1 species
GACGAACGCUGGCGGCGUGCUUAACACAUGCAAGUCGAACGGAAAGGCCCUGCUUUUGUUGGGUUCUCGAUUGGCGAACGGGUGAGUAACACGUGAGUAUCCUGCCCUUGACUUUGGGAUAACUUCAGGAAACUGGGGCUAAUACCGGAUAUGAGCUCCUGCUGCAUGUUGGGGGUUGUAAAGAUUCGGCGGUUCGGGAUGGUCUCGCGGCUUAUCCGCUUGUUGGGGUGGUAGUUGCUUACCAAGGCUUUGACGGGUAGCCGGCAUGGGAGGGUGACCGGCCACAUUGGGACUGCGAUACGGACCAGAAUCCUACGUGCGGCAGCAGUGGAGAAUAUUGCAGAAUGGGCGGAAGCCUGAUGCAGCAACGCCGCGUGCGGGAUGACGGCCUUCGGGUUGUAAACAGCUUUCGACUGUGACGAAGCGUGAGUGACGGUAAUGGGUAAAGAAGCAACGGCUAACUACGUG